rnacentral:lncRNA from 1 species
UAGGGACCAAUUUCUAAAACUAAGGGAAUUCACCAAAAACUAAUCAUAAUCCACACUAACACCCAUUCUACACGAUCCACAAGUGACCAAUUCUCACACAUUUUUGUAAAUAAUACACACAUUAGUUGUAACACUCUAAAAGAAACUCCACUAGACGUACAUAUUUCACCUGCAAAAACUCAAUGCUAUCAAUUUCUAAAUAUUAAACCUUCACAAGAUCAAACACACACCAAUUCACACACCCAAUCAACAAUUCAUACAAUCACAAAUAUUAUCACUUACACAACAAGUUCACCACUAUCACCCCCUUUUGUUACACAUAUACAAGUUUUUCUUUUACACAAAAUAACAACAAAGCCAGUUGACCACAAUUACACUCACCAGACUAAUUUUCACACUAACAUCUUCAUACACACUUCCACACACAAAUUCACCAAUCAUCUUCUUUCACUAAACACUUCCAUAAACAACCACUCAAACUUAUAAAUUUCAUUACCAACAUCAAUGUUCAUACAUCAGAACAAUACCAAAAUAACAACAAUCCAACAUUGGGUUUAAGCUUCUCCAAAACAUGGGUUACACUCCUGGUUCUGCACUUAGCAAGGAGGGUUCAGGCAGGGCUGAACGGGUAGGGAUUAAAAUUCAAUGGUCACGAGUUGGUAUAGGCGUAGAGGAUCCCUUCUCUANGGGAGAGAUCUACGCCUCUUAGCCCACUCGUGAACCAUCUGAAUUUUAAUCCCUGACCCUUCAGAGUCCUCUGCCUGAACCCUCCUUGCUAAGUGCAAGAACGCAGGAGUGUAACCCAUGUUUGGAGAACUUAAACCCAAUGUUGGAUGUUGUUAUUUUGGUAUUGUUUGAUGUAUGAACAUUGAUGUUGGUAAUGAAUUUAAUAAUUUGAGUGGUUUGUUUAUGGGUGUUAGUGAAAGAAGAUGAUUGGUGAAUUUGUGUGUGGAAGUGUGUAUGAAGAUGUUAGUGUGAAAAUUAGUCUGGUGAGUGUAAUUGUGGUCAACUGGCUUUGUUGUUAUUUUGUGUAAAAGAAAAACUUGUAUAUGUGUACAAAAGGGGUGAUAGUGGUGAACUUGUUGGUAAGUGAUAAUAUUUGUGAUUGUAUGAAUUGUUGAUUGGUGUGUGAAUUGGUGUGUGUUUGAUCUUGUGAAGGUUAAUAUUUAGAAAUUGAUAGCAUUGAGUUUUUUGCAGGUGAAAUAUUACGUCUAGUGGAGUUUCUUUUAGAGUGUUACAACUAAUGUGUGUAUUAUGAUUAAAAUUCAAUGGUCACGAGUUGGUAUAGGCGUAGAGGAUCCCUUCUCUAAUACGUGCUGUUUGGCUUAGAGAAACACACUCAAUCUUCUCACCGCUCUCUACCGACGGAGGCCUUUUGCUAAAUGAGAAAACGAUAGAAAAUCGCCAAAACCGUUUCCGGCCAUAUAACUUGAAUCCAUAAACACACCGUCUUAAAUCGCCGCACAACCACGAAACCACCACCACCAUGCAACUUCGGGUUCACCGCCGCAAAUCACCUCCCAGACACCGUUUCUCCGCCCGCGAACCACCGCUUGAUUUGACGUGUGCCUCUUCUUCCAGUCAGCCAGAAGGUGUGUGUGGUGUUCAGCUCAGUUUAAAAAGAAAAAUAUGCCACUUG